rnacentral:sRNA from 1 species
CAGAUAAGAUUCCUAGUGAAGAUCACCAAGUACUUUAUAGGCAUUUCAUUCAGAGUUUAUCCAAAUUUCCUCAUGAGUCUGCUAGAUUGAAGAAGGCCUGUGAAGGAAUGAUAAACAUCUAUCCUACUGUACAGUAUCCAUUAGAAGUGCUUUGUUUGCAUUUAAUUGAAUCAGGAAAUCUUACUGAUGAGGGGCAGCAGUAUUGUUGUAGAUUAGUGGAAAUGGAUUCAAAAAGUGGUCCAGGCCUCAUUGGCUUAGGCAUUAAAGCAUUACAAGACAAAAAGUAUGAAGAUGCUGUUAGGAACCUAACAGAAGGGUUAAAGGAAAGCCCUGUCUGCACAAGUGGAUGGUAUCAUCUGGCAGAAGCCCAAGUCAAAAUGCAUAGACCUAAAGAAGCUGUUCUUUCAUGCAGUCAAGGUAUUUUUGAUACUUUUUGGGUUGACACAUAAGGGUGACCAACCCUAUUUGUUUUUAUCUUAAAGGACAAAGAUAGUGAUUUUAAAAACCAAAAUGCUAUAUUUUGUAUUUUAAAUUGCUAAUUUUAAUUUCAAUGAGGUUAAAUAAAAGUCUGCAUGCAUGUGU